GAGAAGGCUGGGCUUCGGGGAGGCGUUGAGUCCUACGGCUAGAGUAAGAGCUGAGGCUGAAAUGAUCAGGACAAACUAGAAAGUGCGUGCCCACCCACCACCCCUUUCAGCCUCCUGGGUGCUGGGGAAGGGACAGCCCAGGGCAGGCUUUUCUCCACGGACUGCCCAUGUCUACAUGGCCCAGCUGCAGGUGGCAUGGUGGGAGAGCAAGAUGGCAUGGGAAGCCCAGUGCCGCCCCCCCCCCCACCCCGUCAAGCAGACCCACCCACCCAGGGGAGGCCUUCAACCUCAGCCAGCCUCUCCCUUCAUUGUGACGUCAGGACCCUUUGAAGACCCCACUUCCUCUGGCUACGCCAAAAGGGAAGACUGUCAGAUGGGAAAAGAAAACAAAAUUGUGAGCCAGACUUCCUUCCUCCUGGGGUGCCCCCAAGCUGAGGCUGAGUCCAGACCAGGGGUGAAUUGAGAUUAGGGUUGAAAUGGCGGCCACACGUCGCGUUCCACUUCUUCCUGUGGUUGAAACCAGUGGUGAACAUCGGCACAGAACCCGCAGGACUGAGACAAUGCAUAUGUUGAUACUGAGAUUUUAAGAGGUUCUUCUGGGGAGGCCCAGGGAAUUCUCCCUCUGUUUUCAGGCAGCCCCCAGCCUCUCCCACCCCCACACUAGCCUUCUGAAGAGGCUGCUGCCUACGCUCCCCAAAAUAUGGCAUUAAAGACGCACCCUUGCUGAGGGGAGCCCUGGCUG